rnacentral:rRNA from 1 species
CUACGGGCCGCUCCAGUAACGAAUCUUCCGCAAUGCGCGAAAGCGUGACGGGGCAAUGCCGCGUGUGGGAUGAAGCCCUUCGGGGUGUAAACCACUGUCAGGGUCCGCCAACAACAUGAGGAGACCCAAAGGAAGAGCCGGCUAACUCUGUGCCAGCAGCCGCGGUAAUACAGAGGGCUCGAGCGUUAAUCGGAAUCACUGGGCUUAAAGCGUGCGUAGGCGGACUUGAAGGCACCUUGUGAAAUCCCUCGGCUCAACCGAGGAACUGCUUGGUGAACCACAAGUCUUGAGGUCGGUAGAGGCGGUCGGAACGAUAGGUGGAGCGGUGAAAUGCGUAGAUAUCUAUCGGAACGCCAAUGGUGCAGACAGGCCGCUGGGCCGCACCUGACGCUGAGGCACGAAAGCGUGGGGAUCAAACGGGAUUAGAUACCCUGGUAGUC